AUAUGCUUGUCUCAAAGAUUAAGCCAUGCAUGUCUAAGUCCAAGCUGUGUUCACACGGCGAGACCGCGGACGGCUCAUUAAAUCAGUCGUGGUCCAAAUGGGCCAGUGCAAAUCCUACUUGGAUAACUGUGGUAAUUCCAGAGCUAAUACAUGCAACUGAUAUCCCGAAGGCGGUGUUGGGGCUUGCUUGCCUUGCGCUGCGCUGCUCUGACGGAUGCUUUUAUUAGACCAAGCCGCUGAGGACUUGAGGGUUCGCGCUCUCUUGUUUGACUCGUGUGAUGGUGACUCUGGAUAACCAAAUUCUGACAAGCGCACGUACUUCUCUUCUGAGCGAGACGGCGCUGCCACUUUCGAGUGUCUGCCUUAUCAGCUAUCAACCGUUCGUUAUGCGCGACCGAUGGCUUUGACGGGUAACGGGGAAUCAGGGUUCGAUUCCGGAGAGGCAGCCUGAGAGACGGCUACCACGUCCAAGGACGGCAGCAGGCACGCAAAUUACCCAAUCCCAGCAAAUGGGGGAGGUAGUGACGAAAUCUAACGAUGCGGGCGCCCUUUCUGGGGCCCCGCAAUCGGAAUGGGCACUUUCUAAACAACCUGUUGAGAACCUAC
rnacentral:rRNA from 1 species